rnacentral:rRNA from 1 species
CCUACGGGUGGCAGCAGUGGGGAAUAUUGGACAAUGGGCGAAAGCCUGAUCCAGCCAUGCCGCGUGUGUGAAGAAGGCCUUCGGGUUGUAAAGCACUUUCAGUGGGGAAGAAAGCCUUGGGGCUAAUACCCUCGAGGAAGGACAUCACCCACAGAAGAAGCACCGGCUAACUCCGUGCCAGCAGCCGCGGUAAUACGGAGGGUGCGAGCGUUAAUCGGAAUUACUGGGCGUAAAGCGCGCGUAGGCGGUCUGAUAAGCCGGUUGUGAAAGCCCCGGGCUCAACCUGGGAACGGCAUCCGGAACUGUCAGGCUAGAGUGCAGGAGAGGAAGGUAGAAUUCCCGGUGUAGCGGUGAAAUGCGUAGAGAUCGGGGGGAAUACCAGUGGCGAAGGCGGCCUUCUGGACUGACACUGACGCUGAGGUGCGAAAGCGUGGGUAGCAAACAGGAUUAGAUACCCGGGUAGUC